UACGGGGGGGGCAAGCGUUGUUCGGAAUUACUGGGCGUAAAGGGCUCGUAGGUGGCCAACUAAGUCAGACGUGAAAUCCCUCGGCUUAAACCGGGGAACUGCGUCUGAUACUGGAUGGCUUGAGUUUGGGAGAGGGAUGCGGAAUUCCAGGUGUAGCGGUGAAAUGCGUAGAUAUGACAUAGAACACCAAUUGCGAAGGCAGCUUGCUACAGGGAUAUUGACACUGAGGCACGAAAGCGUGGGGAUCAAACAGG
rnacentral:rRNA from 1 species